rnacentral:rRNA from 1 species
UACAGAGGGUGCGAGCGUUAAUCGGAAUUACUGGGCGUAAAGCGCACUUAGGCGGCUUGGUAUGUCGGGUGUGAAAUCCCCGGGCUCAACCUGGGAACUGCAUCCGAAACUGCCUUGCUAGAGUAUGGGAGAGGGAAGCGGAAUUUCCGGUGUAGCGGUGAAAUGCGUAGAUAUCGGAAGGAACAUCAGUGGCGAAGGUGGCUUCUGGGACCAAUCAUUACGAUCAGGUGGGAAAGCGUGGGGAGCAAACAGG